rnacentral:rRNA from 1 species
GAUGAACGCUGGCGGCGUGCCUAAUACAUGCAAGUCGAGCGAACAGACGAGGAGCUUGCUCCUCUGACGUUAGCGGCGGACGGGUGAGUAACACGUGGAUAACCUACCUAUAAGACUGGGAUAACUUCGGGAAACCGGAGCUAAUACCGGAUAAUAUAUUGAACCGCAUGGUUCAAUAGUGAAAGACGGUUUUGCUGUCACUUAUAGAUGGAUCCGCGCCGCAUUAGCUAGUUGGUAAGGUAACGGCUUACCAAGGCAACGAUGCGUAGCCGACCUGAGAGGGUGAUCGGCCACACUGGAACUGAGACACGGUCCAGACUCCUACGGGAGGCAGCAGUAGGGAAUCUUCCGCAAUGGGCGAAAGCAUGACGGAGCAACGCCGCGUGAGUGAUGAAGGUCUUCGGAUCGUAAAACUCUGUUAUUAGGGAAGAACAAAUGUGUAAGUAACUAUGAACGUCUUGACGGUACCUGAUCAGAAAGCCACGGCUAACUACGUG